rnacentral:rRNA from 1 species
GAUGAACGCUAGCUACAGGCUUAACACAUGCAAGUCGAGGGGCAUCAUUAUCGAAGCUUGCUUUGAUAGAUGGCGACCGGCGCACGGGUGAGUAACGCGUAUCCAACCUUCCCCUUACUAGGGAAUAGCCCGGCGAAAGUCGGAUUAAUGCCCUAUGUUCUCCUUUGCGGGCAUCUAACGAGGAGCAAAGAUUCAUCGGUAAGGGAUGGGGAUGCGUCUGAUUAGGCAGUCGGCGGGGUAACGGCCCACCGAGCCGACGAUCAGUAGGGGUUCUGAGAGGAAGGUCCCCCACAUUGGUACUGAGACACGGACCAAACUCC